CAAGAUACGCUGGCGGCGUGCCUAACACAUGCAAGUCGUACGAGAAAGUUGGCUUCGGCCGAUGAGUACAGUGGCGCACGGGUGAGUAACGCGUGGAUAAUCUGCCCUUAAGUGUGGAAUAACGUACCGAAAGGUGCGCUAAUACCGCAUAAUGCCUGGCAACAUAAGUUGUCCGGCCAAAGAAGGCCUCUGCUUGCAAGCUUUCGCUAAAGGAUGAGUCCGCGUACCAUUAGCUAGUUGGUGGGGUAACGGCCUACCAAGGCGACGAUGGUUAGCUGGUCUGAGAGGAUGAUCAGCCACACUGGAACUGAGACACGGUCCAGACUCCUACGGGAGGCAGCAGUGAGGAAUAUUGCGCAAUGGGGGCAACCCUGACGCAGCGACGCCGCGUGAGCGAAGAAGGCCUUCGGGUUGUAAAGCUCUGUCUGGAGGGACGAACAAAAUGACGGUACCUCCGGAGGAAGCCACGGCUAACUACGUG
rnacentral:rRNA from 1 species